rnacentral:rRNA from 1 species
GAUGAACGCUGGCGGCGUGCCUAACACAUGCAAGUCGAGCGAAGCACUUUAAUUCGAUUCUUCGGAUGAAGAUUUUUGUGACUGAGCGGCGGACGGGUGAGUAACGCGUGGGCAACCUGCCUUACACAGGGGGAUAACAGUUAGAAAUGACUGCUAAUACCGCAUAAGACCGCAGUACCGCAUGGUACAGCGGUAAAAACUCCGGUGGUGUAAGAUGGGCCCGCGUCUGAUUAGGUAGUUGGCGGGGUAACGGCCCACCAAGCCGACGAUCAGUAGCCGACCUGAGAGGGUGACCGGCCACAUUGGGACUGAGACACGGCCCAGACUCCUACGGGAGGCAGCAGUGGGGAAUAUUGCACAAUGGGGGAAACCCUGAUGCAGCGACGCCGCGUGAGCGAUGAAGUAUUUCGGUAUGUAAAGCUCUAUCAGCAGGGAAGAAAA